GCCCCCGUAGCUCAGGGGAUAGAGCACCGCUCUCCUAAAGCGGGUUGUCGCAGGUUCGAAUCCUGCCGGGGGCACC
rnacentral:tRNA from 1 species